ensembl:lncRNA LINC01029 long intergenic non-protein coding RNA 1029
AAUGAAGGCAAAAAUCUAUUUUAAAAUUCUCUCCCGAAAGCCUCUAUUUGGAAGUGAUCGUGCUCUCUUGAGAUGUGCAUUUCAUAUGAGGAAUCCCACUAACCAGGACUCUGUCCCCGCUUCUAGAGGAAAGUUUGAAGCUUCUAUAAGCAUAAAACCUUGAACUGAGUCACUGGGAACCUGUGAGAGGCUUCUGCAGGCACACGGCAGCCUCCACGAUGUUCUCUCCUCAUUCACGUCUGCCUGCUGCACACCCCAAUUCUCACGCACACCGCCGUUCUGGUCUCCUCCCUGCUAACAGGGAAUUCCCUGGUAAAAAGCAUGAGGCGACUCAGAAGGAGCAUGAGCAGAGAUGACCCUAAUAGGUGGUGCCAACACAGUUUCCCUGAGAAGUUGAAAUCGAGGACUGGUGCCCACUGAGGAGGUCUGAGGAGAGGAGGACUCAGAGCAGCCAGAAGGAGAGUGCAUGAGAUUAUAUAAAGACUCAGAGAAGAGAUACAGCUCCUCCCGCACCAGAGAAAUGCAGCUCCGUGAGCCCCGAUGGAGCCAGCAUGCUGCUGGGUGCUGAGGAGCAGGCAGAGGCACCCAGGAUGGCGGUCCCCAAGGAGAACGGAGGCACAGAACAACGCAUGAGGGGCCACAUGACUUAGGGCCGGGAUCGGUCACUCAGCCAGCAAAAACACUGGAAGAAAACAAAACAACUUCAGACUCUAUGCUGCAUUUCCGUAAUAUAUCUGCCCAAAGACUGGACAACAAAGGUAAAGGAGGCUGAUGAGGAAACGAAAGGAUCCGUGGUUCUUGGCUCGCUGGGUGGCUCAUCAACAAAGCCCCAGCAUCACUCCUGCAGAUGCCCUAGCCUGGCCUGGGCUGGGAUGGGCAAAAUUCACCAUGGGACUCUUGUUCAAGAGAGGGAGAUCAAAGCCAGAAACACUUACCCAGAAUGGCCAUGCAGACUAAAAUUCCAAUUCUAAAAAUACUUUUAAAAUGUAACGUACAACAAAGGAAAGCUGGAAAAAUAUUUAAAAAAGGAUGAAAGGGCAAGAAAAAUUCAACCCACGACCUCAAGGCGAUUAUAAUCUGUGUUCUGCUGCUUCCCAGAGCCGCUUCAGUCUUCAGCUCAGAGUCUACCAGACACUAAAAUGCAACUGAACACUCAGUUCAUACUUGUUCUUCUAAUUAGCUGCCUCUUCCAUUUGAUUAAUAUUGCCUCCUAAUUUAAUUGUAAAUUGUAUUUCUGGUUUAUAUUUCGCUUCUCCCUCCUGUUGUACCUGGUGACCAUCUUCAUUAAUCAUAUUGUAGCUUUUUAAUGAAUCUCAUAUGCCAAUUUAUGGUGAACAAGACUUGAUAUGAAGGCAUCUUCAUCAAAUCAUUCAUAAUCUUGUAACUAUUGGUUUAUUUUCUGUAACGACCUAUAAAUGUACACCAAAAAAAUGAAAGAUUCCCCCUAAAAUGUAAUGGGACAGAA